UAGCUCUGUGGACAGUUUUGGAUUUGUUUACAUCUCACCCAACCGCUCACGGCAGAUGGCUGCACCUCUCUAAGCCUGGUUCUGCCGGAGGUUUCUUCCUGUUAAAAGGGAGUUUUUCUGAACACACUCUACCACCACCAAGGACAGCUCACCAGUGGGAACUGAUAGAUAAGACUGCUGAUGUGCUCUCAUCCAUUGAAGAGCUGACCAGAAACGUGAACAGAAAGACUGCACCUGAUGGGAUCCCUGCCAUAACAGAUGUGUUCUGUCCAGUGAAGGCAGUGGAGAA